rnacentral:rRNA from 1 species
GAUUAAGUUAUUAAGGGCGCACGGUGGAUGCCUUGGCACUAGAAGCCGAUGAAGGACGUUACUAACAACGAUAUGCUUUGGGGAGCUGUAAGUAAGCUUUGAUCCAGAGAUUUCCGAAUGGGGAAACCCAGCAUGAGUUAUGUCAUGUUAUCGAUAUGUGAAUACAUAGCAUAUCAGA